rnacentral:rRNA from 1 species
AUAUCAUUAAGCGGAGGAGAAGAAACUAACAAGGAUUCCCCUAGUAACGGCGAGUGAAGCGGGAAUAGCUCAAUCUUAAAAUCGAGCGUUACGCUCUUCGAGUUGUAGAGUAUAGAGGCGCCUCGGGGGAGUGCGCAGGUAUAAGUCCCUUGGAAAAGGGCGUCAUAGAGGGUGACAAUCCCGUUCAUGACUUGUGCAACUUCUCUAUAUGGGACGCUUUCGAAGAGUCGAGUUGUUUGGGAAUACAGCUCUAAACGGGUGGUAAAUUUCAUCUAAAGCUAAAUAUUGGCGAGAGACCGAUAGCGCACAAGUA